rnacentral:rRNA from 1 species
AUACGGAGGGUGCAAGCGUUACUCGGAAUCACUGGGCGUAAAGGACGCGUAGGCGGGAUAGUAAGUCUGAUGUGAAAUCCUAUGGCUCAACCAUAGAACUGCAUUGGAAACUACUGACCUAGAGUAUGGGAGGGGGAGAUGGAAUUAGUAGUGUAGGGGUAAAAUCCGUAGAUAUUACUAGGAAUACCGAAAGCGAAGGCGAUCUCCUGGAACAAUACUGACGCUAAGGCGUGAAAGCGUGGGGAGCAAACAGGAUUAGAUACCCCUGUAGUCC